CCAAAGGAUUUGUGGAGACAAAGACAAUCCAAGAUACUGCUCGAGAGACUCUGCUGAUUGACAAUGACGAAAACAACCCAAAGGAAUGCACUUCGGAAUACAGUGAAAAAUUAGAUUAUUUUGUAAGCUACAUAUUUGCCCUUGAGAAAGAAGCUGUCUCAGCCUGGUCAAAAUAUCUAGUGAUCACAGGGCAAAAGGACGAUGUAAAUUUGGUCCAAAAAACAUUUAAACAAUAUAUGUCUGAACAGUGGUCAUUAUACAACAAAAAUGGAUGUGGACCACUUAAUGCUGAACAUCUAUCUAAUAGUUACUGCAAGAAGCCGUACCACAGCAAUAAACAGCUGGUACACCUCAAAUAUGCAGAUGGCUACAAACCGUUUCCAAAGACCGUCAAUGGAGUCACUUGCCUGUGUGUCACACUGACCAGAUUGAAAAGUUGACCUUGGAAUGCCAUUAUGAAAUGGUAACAACAGUCUGCACGGGGUCAUGCACGAAUGGAUGGACUUUCCCAGAUGGCAAUACAAGUGUGAACUAUAAGUGUACAAAUCAGCCUUGCAGGGCAUUAUUUCUACCCAGAUGUGAUAGGUGCAGUAUUGACAGAGUUUGUUGGGAUCACAAAGUGUGUAGAAAAGGAAAAUGCAUCUCUGCAUGCAAAGACAAUCCCUGUGGGAUCAACACUGUUUGCACUGGAGCAAAUCAUGUACAUGUAGGAGUCCUUGGUUAGUGGAUCCUUACCAGGGCUGCCGUGAACAGGAUCUACAUUGGGAGACCUCAUCAGAAAUAUCAUCAAGUACGUUACAGACCUUAUUCUAUAUACGUUCAAAAAUAACUGUAUCCUUUUCAUUUGUCGAGUGACUCUUUACAUGAACCACACUAACAUUAAAGCUGCUGCUACAAAAUGAAUUUAAUAAUGGCCUGUGUGUUACAGAUGCUGUCAAAUCCAUUACAGGAACAGUUUGCAGAGGUACAGCACCCGAUGAUCGAUUUCACGGAGGAUGGAUUUACGUCACUGGUGGACAAACGCACUGCAAUUUUGAGUUUGAUUCCAGUGAACACUCUGUUCGGGACUACCAGGUUCUUGUGGAUCCAUGUGCUGGUAGUGGAGUGGAAUGGGUCACAGGUGUUCCAAACAGCAAAUCAGUUAGGAUUGGAACCUCAGCACGUUUCCCAGAUGUAAUGAUGUAUCUGUGCAGCGAUCACAAUGGAAUUACAGGAAAACUGUUUCUUACUUGAAAUGGCUGGCGGUGUCAUAUAGGAUUUGGAAACCAGGCUUGGCUUAACGAUGUCUUCACCAUACUACAACAAAAGCCAUGCAUGUAAGGCAUCUCGCUGCAGAAUCUCACCUCCUUUCAGUAAUGAAGGAGUGAAUCACAAUUUUGCUGAAUACUCAUUAUUACAUUACUUAAUGGGCAGUAAACAAGAUUUUUUAUUCAUACAAAUUAUUCUGUACUUUCAUGCUUUUGCUUGCAAUGCAAGUGGCAAACCUUUUAACAUUAAUCCCAUAGUGAAUAUAGUGAAAGAAGAAUGAAACAUCAUAUGGACUUCAGUCAGAAGAGGGGAAGUCAGUGAAAAAUACUUUGUGACAAUUAGAAUGCUUGCAAAUAUGCAAAAUAUUAAUGACAUGGGUACUACAUCCAGUGUUCCAGAAUCAAUAAACGACACAUUAUUUGUGGUUUUCACUUCAAACAAAUUAGGCCACAAACUUAUUGUCAUUGUGUUCAUUCAAAUGUGUAUUCUUACUUGUAAAGAUUUAGCUGGUAGCUGCUUUAUUAAAAAAAAAAUUUACUUGCAUGUACAAGGAUGUGAUUUAUUUCAAAUUCGGUUGCUACUUUGAAGAAUCUCUUAUAGAAAUGUAUUUUGAUUUGUUUAAGACUUUUUUGGUUACUACAUGAUUCUAUAUGUUUUAUUUUAUAGUUGUGAUGUCUUCAGUAUUAUUCUACAGUGUGGAAAAUGGUA
ensembl:lncRNA